rnacentral:rRNA from 1 species
GAAGAGUUUGAUCNUGGCUCAGGNCGAACGCUGGCGGCGUGCCUAAUACAUGCAAGCUGAGCGCUGAAGGUUGGUACUUGUACCANCUGGAUGAGCAGCGAACGGGUGAGUAACGCGUGGGGAAUCUGCCUUUGAGCGGGGGACAACAUUUGGAAACGAAUGCUAAUACCGCAUAAAAACUUUAAACACAAGUUUUAAGUUUGAAAGAUGCAAUUGCAUCACUCAAAGAUGAUCCCGCGUUGUAUUAGCUAGUUGGUGAGGUAAAGGCUCACCAAGGCGAUGAUACAUAGCCGACCUGAGAGGGUGAUCGGCCACAUUGGGACUGAGACACGGCCCAAACUCCUACGGGAGGCAGCAGUAGGGAAUCUUCGGCAAUGGACGAAAGUCUGACCGAGCAACGCCGCGUGAGUGAAGAAGGUUUUCGGAUCGUAAAACUCUGUUGGUAGAGAAGAACGUUGGUGAGAGUGGAAAGCUCAUCAAGUGACGGUAACUACCCAGAAAGGGACGGCUAACUACGUGCCAGCAGCCGCGGUAAUACGUAGGUCCCGAGCGUUGUCCGGAUUUAUUGGGCGUAAAGCGGAGCCCAGGUGGUUUAUUAAGUCUGGUGUAAAAGGAGUGGCUCACCAUUGUAUGCAUUGGAAACUGGUAGACUUGAGUGCAGGAUAGGAGAGUGGAAUUCCNUGUGUAGCGGUGAAAUGCGUAAAUAUAUGGAGGAACACCGGUGGCGAAAGCGGCUCUCUGGCCUGUAACUGACACCUGANGCUCGAAAGCGUGGGGAGCCAACAGGAUUAGAUACCCUGGUUCUCCCACGCCCGUNAACCUAUGAGUUGCUAAUGUAAGGAGCUAUAAGUUCCUCUGUUAUCGCCAGCUAACGCCAAUAACCACUCCCGNCUGGGGAGUAC